rnacentral:rRNA from 1 species
UACGGGGGGGGCAAGCGUUGUUCGGAAUUACUGGGUGUAAAGGGCUCGUAGGCGGCCAACUAAGUCUGACGUGAAAUCCCCCGGCUUAACUGGGGAACUGCGUCAGGUACUGGUUGGCUUGAGUUCGGGAGAGGGACGUGGAAUUCCAGGUGUAGCGGUGAAAUGCGUAGAUAUCUGGAGGAACACCGGUGGCGAAGGCGGCGUCCUGGACCGACACUGACGCUGAGGAGAGAAAGCCAGGGGAGCAAACGGG